GGGAAGGUAACAGCUGAUAGCAUUGAGCCUCGUGUCUCACCUUUCCGGGUCAGGCGUGCGGACGGGUGAGUAACGCGUGGGAAUAUGCCCUUUGCUACGGAAUAGUCCUGGGAAACUGGGGGUAAUACCGUAUACGCCCUUUGGGGGAAAGAUUUAUCGGCGAAGGAUUAGCCCGCGUUGGAUUAGGUAGUUGGUGGGGUAAUGGCCUACCAAGCCGACGAUCCAUAGCUGGUUUGAGAGGAUGAUCAGCCACACUGGGACUGAGACACGGCCCAGACUCCUACGGGAGGCAGCAGUGGGGAAUCUUAGACAAUGGGGGCAACCCUGAUCUAGCCAUGCCGCGUGAGUGAUGAAGGCCUUAGGGUUGUAAAGCUCUUUCAGCUGGGAAGAUAA
rnacentral:rRNA from 1 species